UCUUGGUGCAGAGGCUUGCACCUGUAGUCCCAGCUACUUUGGAAGCUGAGACAGGAGGAUUGCUUGAGCCUGGGAGUUCAAGGACAGCCAGGACAACAUGGUAGGACCCAGUUCU
rnacentral:sRNA from 1 species